rnacentral:rRNA from 1 species
GUCCUACGGGGGGCAGCAGUGGGGAAUAUUGCACAAUGGGGGGAACCCUGAUGCAGCAAUGCCGCGUGGGUGAAGAAGCACUCCGGUGCGUAAAGCCCUGUCAGCAGGGAAGAAAAUGACAGUACCUGACCAAGAAGCCCCGGCUAACUACGUGCCAGCAGCCGCGGUAAUACGUAGGGGGCAAGCGUUAUCCGGAUUUACUGGGUGUAAAGGGAGCGUAGACGGCAGAGCAAGUCUGAAG